rnacentral:lncRNA from 1 species
AAUUUUAUUGUCACGAAUUGCGCCAUGCGCGCGACACUUCUUUACCAUUUCGGAUAGUGUCUGGAACGCACGAACAAAACGCCGCUAUUCGGAUAUAACGAUGGAUUAUUUUGGACCAAACCAACAUUUGUUAUUGAAGUAGACGUCCUGGGAGUGCAUUCUGACGAAGACAACAAAAGAUGCCAACAGACAGACAGUUGUGGCCCAGAUGGACAUGCAGACGACCAGCACAAGCCCCAGAAACGUAGGCUGCUGGCAUAUGUCAACAGAGAGAUUGAUGUCAUGGAUCGUCAUCGUGGUAACAUAUGGCCAAGGCAAAGAAAGUUGAUUUCCCUUCUGGUUGGAACCAACAUGCAGUACCUCCAGAAAGAACCAUUCGCCCGCCACCUCAGGGACCAG